rnacentral:rRNA from 1 species
UACGUAGGGGGCAAGCGUUGUCCGGAUUUAUUGGGCGUAAAGAGCGUGUAGGCGGCCAUGUAGGUCCGUUGUGAAAACUCGAGGCUCAACCUCCAGCGGUCGUUGGAAACUACUCGGCUAGAGUCCGGAAGAGGAGAGUGGAAUUCCUGGUGUAGCGGUGAAAUGCGCAGAUAUCAGGAAGAACACCGAUGGCGAAGGCAGCUCUCUGGGACGGUACUGACGCUGAGACGCGAAAGCGUGGGGAGCGAACAGG